rnacentral:rRNA from 1 species
AACGAACGCUGGCGGCAUGCCUAACACAUGCAAGUCGAACGAGACCUUCGGGUCUAGUGGCGCACGGGUGCGUAACGCGUGGGAACCUGCCCUUAGGUUCGGAAUAACUCCCCGAAAGGGGUGCUAAUACCGGAUAAUGUCUUCGGACCAAAGAUUUAUCGCCUUUGGAUGGGCCCGCGUUGGAUUAGCUAGUUGGUAGGGUAAAAGCCUACCAAGGCGACGAUCCAUAGCUGGUCUGAGAGGAUGAUCAGCCACACUGGGACUGGGACACGGCCCGGACUCGGGCGGAAGGGGGGAUGGGGGGAUGUAGGAAAGGCGGGGGAGGGAUGAAGAGCCUAGGCCGGGGGAGGGAGGGGGGUAGGGGGGAAGAAAAGUUUUUUUACCCGGGAAGGUAAGGAGGGGACCGGAAGAAUAAGCCCCGGCUAACUCCGGG